CUCACAUUUGUAAGGCAGGUUCUUUUGUAUCAACAGAAAUAGAUCUUAGUAAUAUCCCCAUCUGGUCCAGUCAGGAAGAAGCCCCCACUGCUGCUUGCUCCAGUCAACUAAAAUAAAAAAUGAGCUUGAUGAUUUGCCAGGGAUGAACUCGAUCCUAUUGGUCUUCAGCUGCAGCCUAAGAGUUAAGAAAUGCACCCACUAAGUGCUGGGCAGGUUUGCUCAGGCAACUCUAGCUUCCAAGGGAAGGUCAAGCAGAGAGGCCUGCAGUGCCUGCUGGAGCUCUAAUGGGUGAAAGAAGACCAGCUGUGUUACAGCUACAAAGCUGGAUCUGAAAGUACCCCCGUGCUUCUCCCCGAGAACUCACUCCUUGAGCCUUUCAGCUUGCAGAUGUAGUGAUAGUAUGCUCAGGUUGGCUUCUCCACGGAAGAGGCUGAGUUCAAAGUCCAGUCUGAAACAUACUCAGCUGUCUGUAGCUGACCCUCAAUAAAAUCAACCUGCCCAGAACUCUGUGGUCUUUGGACUGGUCAUGUCUCAAGAACAUUUCACCUCAUUCAUCACCAGAGCAGAUAUUGUGGAUCAAGGAUUCAACAACUAUUCCCCACCAACAACCUCUUUAGAGAAUUUUCUCUAUAUGGACCCUACAUUUUGAAAAAUAUGGCCAUCAAAUCAAUUUCAAGAAAGAUAGUUUUACAAUUUUUAUUGACCAAAGGAUAAGGGGUCAAUACAUAAAAGUACAUAAGAUCAACCAGAGAUGCCAAUGCUACACUGACCUAAACUACAGAACCCUGAUAUUUUAGUCAGCUAAUCAGCGCUAAUGGAAACAAAGGCAUAAUUUCCACCGGGCUUUUUAUGACCCUUAGCACAGCUCCAGAACUCCAUCACUAGUUUCAAGAAGCUCACUGACAUCUAUGGCUCACUUAUCUGGAUUUUUAUUCCCCAGGGAGGCUAAAACCAAAUCUGGGGCAGAAAAGUUAAAGUAAAAAUUUCCCUUUACUUACUUCUUCCCAAUGUUGGACUUUUAAAGUCAUGAAACCCAGUUGUUCCUUUACUUCUUGGUGUAUUUCAGCUUCAUCCUAUGAAGCCAGCUCCAUGGGGCCUGGAAAAAAAUUAUGUACCUUGGAUAGUACAUCAUCAAAAGAGUUAAGUUACUCUGGGGUGGGGAGAGGGAGGGAUGAUUAGAGCAUUAUCAAGAGUCCUAUCAGCUCAGCAUCUUUUUCUUCUGGUGCAUGUGAUUGCCCUCAGAAAGAUACCCCAGCAUCAUAACUUCCAUGCACAGAGAUACACUCUGAGAAUAAAAACCAAAACAAGAAUGAGAGGUCAAACUGUCAAGCUGCUUUGAACCACAUAAAAGCAAAUUGAAUAAAUGCAGCUCAGAAGGUACACAUGAAUAACCAUUAGGGCUGUUCAUGUCUGCCUCUCUCUGACAACUCACACCUCUGUCAUGAUCCUUCUUUAUCUGUAGAAUUGUUCAACCCAGUUGACUUGUAAAAUUAAUUCACAGAAAAUCCAAUCAUUAUGCCCUCAUUUUAUAAUCAACUUACUAUUAGCAUGAAAGAGUGUCAUAAAUUAGGGGAAUAAUUCUACUAGACGUCCUUUUAACUCAAAGAAAGUGACCAAACACAUAUUUAUAUAUUCAGCAAACAAUAAUCAGAGAAGCUUGAAAAACAGUGUUUUUCUCCCUCAUUACACAGGUAGCUGAAAUGCCAUUUUUAAAAAAUGACUUGAACCUAAGUAAACAAUCUCCAGCAGUAUAAUUAAUCACAAAGAAGUAUAUAUGAAUUGACAGGAUUUUUGCUAGACUCAAAAGUAAUAAUAAUAUUCCUAGUAAGCUGAGGGCUCGUGAUUACUUUCUCUUGUCCCUAGCCUACAAAGGAAAUUAAGCAGUUCAUUCUUUUGUGAAAUUUUUAAUACUAGAAAAGACUGAAUGUCAUAGAAAAAAAUGUUGACUGUAAUAACACAGUGGCCUGGUGACAGUAAUCUAUGCAGUUUGAUUAUGUUAUAGUCAUGGCUGUAAAUUUUUAUGGGUCCACAG
rnacentral:lncRNA from 1 species